rnacentral:misc_RNA from 1 species
UCGACCAACCAGCAACCAGUUCGGACGUGAAAUUCGUAUGCGCUCGCUAAAAAGUUUAAAAAUAAGCGAAAAAAAUCGUUCGUGUUCUGAUAAAGUGAAAAGGAAAAAAAAAAGUAAAGCAAAGUUAAUCGAAAGUGAUUGAUGCAAAUUAAACUCUGUGUGUGAGAGACAGUGGCAAGAAGAAUCCUGCUCGUUGUUGUUGUUAUUGUGAUUGACCGCGAGAGCGCGUGUGUGUUGUUAAAUACGGCAAGUGGCCGGAGAAUCGGCUCAGUUUCCUUGCACCCUCGGAACUAAUCGCACAACAGCAGCAGCAGCAGCAACCAAACCUAACCUCACUUUUCGCCGUCGGCCGUCUGUCAUCCGGGAGAGAGAGAUUUCUUCGUCGCAGGACUCGUUGGUUUUCUGUGGCUCUGGCCUUGUUUUGGUGUCUUUUCGUGUUUACUUUCACCAACUUAAACUUCAUCAAAAGAACAGAACCAGUCAGAAUUCGGAAAACCGGUUCGCAUCGGCAGCAGCAGCAGAAGCAGCUCUGAUUACAUCACAGAGAGCUCGCGGCUCCGCCGGAGCUGAGCGCGAGGAGCGCCAGUGCUUCGCCCCUCCUCAUCGCAGGGGGGCCCGUGCUGAUAUUUCCAGUUGAAGUGAGCGACUUUGGUGGGGAAUAAAAAGUAUGUGACUGAAUUUCGUUCCGUGGCCUACUUGAGAAGCAACAAAAAACGGUUCGGGUUUAGAUCAGAAGAAUACGGAAAUUUGUUUUUAUCACGAAAAUUUUACGUCGUGAAAGAAUAAUAAAGAUUUCGGGUAGUAAAAAACGAAAAAAAAAGAUUGUGCGCGCACUUACGCUGGUAUUGUGCGAAGAAGAGAGCAAGACAAGUUAACUUUCGUUGCUGUGUUGGUGUGUUAAUUUUCGUAAUACACGGUUAAGGGAAGAAGUAAAGAAAAAACAAAAUACCAGAAAUUUCUGAAAAAGUAUGUCAAAUCGUGAGCGAGAUACAUUCAUUCAUCUUUUCGCUGGAGGUAUCGCAGGUACUGCUGGCGCCGUGGUAACAUGCCCGCUGGAAGUGGUCAAAACGCGUCUCCAAAGUUCGUCCGCCUCGUUCAUCAGCGUGCCGCCGCGUAUCGUGACCGAUCAUCACGGCGUCGGUAAGUUGUCCUCGUCGUCGUGCGGAUCGAACGAGCAUCUGCGCAGCAACAGCAACUCCGCCGAGCACCAUUCCAGACAGCGGGUAUGCGCUAGCACGCUGCUGAGCCGCCGCCGGCCAUCGAUCCUCGCCAUCCCGCAGUGUGGCCUCUCGACGUCGGUCCAGUCGAUCUCGAUCUGGCAAUGCCUGAAGCACAUCGUCCAAACCGAGGGCGGUCGCGCCCUGUUUAAGGGCCUCGGGCCAAACAUUGUCGGCGUGGCGCCGUCCCGUGCGAUCUACUUUUGUGCGUACUCCAAGGCCAAAAAUGCGCUGAACACGGUUGGCAUCAUCCCGGCCAACUCGCCGCUCGUGCACAUCAUGAGUGCGUCCUGCGCCGGCUUCGUGUCCGCCACGCUCACCAACCCGAUCUGGUUCGUCAAGACGCGCCUCCAGCUGGACUACAACGCCAACGCGAAGCAGUCCGUGUCCGAGUGCGUACGCCGGAUCUACGCGACGCAGGGUCUGACCGGGUUCUACAAGGGCAUCACCGCCAGCUACGUCGGAAUCUCCGAGACGGUCAUCCACUUUGUGAUCUACGAGGCGCUCAAGAAGAAACUGUUCUUGUAUGUGUUCGCUUACUUGCUAAUCCUAAUCAUGGCGAGGGUGGUGGUGCGUGACCCGCACCGUCCCCGCGCCGAAAUCAUGAACUCACCUCAUCUUGCAUGGGGCCCCGCUUCAACUUUUUAUGUCCGGCAAGCGCAAUCUUGCUACAAACUUGUGUUGUGUUCCCAAAAAAAUCUCUUUGGCUGAGCUGAGCUGAGGCCGCUGAUUGCGCACGAUUGGUCACAUUCCAUUCCAAGCGAAAAAAAAUACAGCCUGAUGUGAAAUGGAAUCAGUCGUAAGAAUCGAUGGUUGUCACGUCACACACACAAAAAAAACUCGGUGCAUGUCCCCGUCGUCGCCAUCGUCAUCGCCGUCGUCACCUGGUCCCGAUCCCGGAGAAUGAGCAAAAGACACCACGGAUAUCCCACGGAUGUUCGGUGUAUGUGCAGAGUAUGAACUAAAAAGAAACGUAAAAUCAGUAUCGUAGGGGCAUGUUGCAAUGGGCGGCAGCGAACCGACGGACUUGCUCUGUAUCUUGUAAGAGAUAAGACAAGUCCCCACACGCUGAACAGGCUCUGUACGUGAAAGGAAAUUGACCUUUUUGCUUCGGGUGAGCGAGCGGCGAAACUUGUUUUGGUAUUAAACUUUGUUGCGGUACUUGGGACUAGUUUUUUCGUUGAAUUUAAACAGGCUUUCGUGAGAAUUUCUGUGGGUGUGGCAAUCGACAUAACUAAUUUUAGAAAUUAAUGUUAUAGGUUUAAAGUCGUAUUCGUAGAUUUAUGUGGAUACAUUGCUUUCCCAUUUUUGACAACACCAAGGAAUACAAAAUUAUUUUUUUCAAACGAAUAUAUGACACCGAAUAUUUUAUAGGAAAUUUUCAACAAAAACUCUAACGCUAUGUUACGGCAGGGUUGCUUGAUUUUCAAAGUUCACAUUUUUUAAAACCUCCGGAAUUGAAAACACCCUGACUUCCUCGACUAUUCUUCAAGACAGAGUUGCCAGAUCUUCUAAGUAAAAUAAUUAGGGCUAGUGAUUUUUCGUGAUUUCAUGGAGGCCUCGAAAUCCGUUAAAUUUGCUCUGGGUCUAAAUUUCACAAUUCCCAAGAAAUGCCUUGAAAUAUUUAUUUAAGACAUUUAUCAUCAGUAAUUUAACAAUUCCAUUUCAAACGCAGUUCUUGAGUUGUAAUAGGUAUACUUCACAGUAUUUUUGUCUGAAAUUUACGCAAAUUUUGGUUCCUUUUUCAGCAUUUUUUUAAUUGCUAACAUUUUUUAAAGAUCUUUAAAUACCUAAGUGAAUAAGAAGGAGGACAGUACAAUCUAGACAUAAAACCGAAGUUGCAGAAAUAUGUGAAUUGCUUAAAUUUGAUCCGGACAUAUUUUUUAGCAUGAGCAUGAGCAUGAGCAUGAGAGAUCACCCAUGGUUGCCCCUCCGUUGCUGAACAGAACCGUAAUAUCCU